CAGUAGCCGCGGUAAUACAGAGGGUGCAAGCGUUAAUCGGAAUUACUGGGCGUAAAGCGCGCGUAGGUGGUUUGUUAAGUUGGAUGUGAAAUCCCCGGGCUCAACCUGGGAACUGCAUCCAAAACUGGCAAGCUAGAGUAUGGUAGAGGGUGGUGGAAUUUCCUGUGUAGCGGUGAAAUGCGUAGAUAUAGGAAGGAACACCAGUGGCGAAGGCGACCACCUGGACUGAUACUGACACUGAGGUGCGAAAGCGUGGGGAGCAAACAGGAUUAGAUACCCCGGUAGUCCCUGUCUCUUAUAA
rnacentral:rRNA from 1 species